CUGAAUCGUUGCUCGAAUUUGAACUUUAUUGACAUUAUUGGUAUCCUCCAACAAUUCUCAUGAUAUUGCGGAAAUUUCAUUGAUUUCUGAUGACUAGUUCGAGAGUAACUGUUUUGGUAAUGAAAUGGGAACAUUAUUUUCAAGUCAAGUCAAAUUCUUAUUAAAUUCCAUUUAUCUUCGGAAUGAGUGAAUUUACGUCACAAGUUCAAAGGACAAAAAAGAUGCGUCAUGUUUAGUUUCAUGGUAUUUGAUUGAUUUUGGAGCAAAAUUAGAACAUUUUUUAAAAUGGUCAAUGUUUUUGAACGGCCUGUAUUGACUUCUCGUGGCCCUCCGCCGAUAGGCAAAGCUACACAGGACGGGGACUGUACUGUAGAUACAAAAUUAGUCAUAACUUGAGAAUAACAGGCUGAUUGAGCUAUGGUUGAAACUUGCUGCUGGGUCCAUCUUGCUAGUUUAUGGCUGAUGAUCACAGUGUCAAGUAUCAGAUGACAGUCAACUUCAAAUCAGGUGGAAAUAUUCAAAAAGUCCAAUCGCCAUAUGAUGAUGAGUUUGAUCAUGAGGUUCUCUACCUGGGGAUGAACAACUUACCCUUGAGAGAGAGAGAGAGAGGCCAGUAACCAUUGCAGAGCGGAUGAUCAAGCUCAAUAGCUAUGACCACAAGCCCAAUAGUGCUCUAAUUAACAUGUGCUGCCAAGGAGUGAGAACAGUUUCAAGAUUGCCGGAAGUGAUGAAGAAAGAAUAGACUUCUGUAAUGGCAAAGCAACCGCGACGAAAGUCAUGUAUCGACAACUGUGUAAAAGGCACCAAAAUGUGUCACAAAGGCCACAAAGACAGUUCAUCGUGUGUGUUGUUUCUUUAUAAUGAUUGCAUUGUAAAAAUAUUUGUAAAAUAUGUCAGUGUUGUGAAUAAAUUUCAAUUUCAAUUCAAUUCAAUUCAUUCUGCGAUUACAGUGAACAUGCAAUCCCAUAGUUUGACACCGUACACAUCGUUUUACCAUUAUCAUAGUAUAUACCACUUCCAUUGUAUAAUUUUGAACAUUACAAAGCAUGUGUUCUGUCAUGAAUAAUAAUGUGUUUAUGUAAAUUACCAAUUUAUUGUUACUUUCGUCUUUCGCAAUUUUGCAUGUUUUGAAAAAAAUUAAAAGGUAUUAUGUACUUCA